GGAGGUUUGGCCGAGUGGUCUAAGGCGCUGUGUUUAGGUUGUUCGCAACGUAAUCCGCAGUCUUCGGGCGUGGGUUCGAAUCCCACAGCCUUCA